rnacentral:rRNA from 1 species
GAGCUAAUACCGGAUGUGCCCUUCGGGGGAAAGAUUUAUCGCCGAAGGAUGAGCCCGCGUAGGAUUAGCUUGUUGGUGAGGUAAAGGCUCACCAAGGCGACGAUCCUUAGCUGGUCUGAGAGGAUGAUCAGCCACACUGGAACUGAGACACGGCCCAGACUCCUACGGGAGGCAGCAGUGGGGAAUAUUGGACAAUGGGCGAAAGCCUGAUCCAGCAAUGCCGCGUGAAUGAUGAAGGCCCUAGGGUUGUAAAGCUCUUUUACCCGGGAAGAUAAUGACUGUACCGGGAGAAUAAGCCCCGGCUAACUCCGUGCCAG